rnacentral:ncRNA from 1 species
CGUGUGGUGUCCGACUUCGGGUUUGAUAGCGACACGGCCUAAAUUGAGGU